GCAUAAUUUUACACAUAGCAGUAAAGGAUAUCAGAUAAGUAUUUAUUCUUUGUUUCUGUAAACACUUCAGCACAUGAAUUGUCUCACUAAUCCCUCUCAGUGUGCAAAGUGUGUAUCUGAGCCUUUAUUGACUUUUAAUAAUAAGCCUUGGAGUACAUCUGUGAAGCUGGUAGGAAAGUAUCUGUUAGUGAUAGGUAAACUGAGAUUAUUAGUCAGUAGGUGACUUGCUUAAGGUCAAUAUAUCCUGAUCUAAUGCCCACUACAGUCAAUGUUAUGUGCGAAUCCCUCCUAUGGGAGGCAUGUGGGUUAAAAGUGAAUGAAUGUAGGCUCUGAAGUGCCUAAAUCACUUUUAAAAAUGUGAUUCAGACUCCCAAAGCAUUUAGGAGUUUUUGAAACAUUGAUUUCAAUAGGUGUUAGAUCAGGCUGAUGGUGAAAGAAUAGGAUUCCUCUGUUCUAGAAUGUAUGCCUCCUCUCUUGUUCUGUCCCCCUUGUUCUGCCACAGCCUGGGUUUGUUAACAUUCUGAAACCACUGCAAACCUCAUCUUCUCCAUCAGGCAUUUGAGGGCUGCCUAGCUAAAUUAGUUUGCUAAUAUUCAGCACAACUCCGGGAUAACAUUUCUUACAUCAGUACAGCAAAAAAAGAGAUUUAAGGAAGGAACUGAAAGAUCAUGAAACUUUUGCAGAUGUUUACAGGAGCCUCCUCUCCACUGUGAGGGCCAGCAUGAGUGAAAGCAUGUAGAUGCUUGUCUGAAAUUGUAACAACUGCACAGUGGAUUCUGGCCAAUCAGAGGCUCCCUUGCCGUUGAUAUCACAAAAGAGCUGCAGUCAAAAUUGGUUAGUUUGGAUGCUGUUUGAAGUUAUUACUCUAAAAAAAAGUGGCAAGCAUUAGUUCUGGUAAAGCAUGAAAAUAGAAUAACUGUGGCAGUCUAAAGCCAAUGUGCCUCCGUGAUCUCAAUGGAGCUGUUAGCAGAUAGUUACUGUGAUUCCUGAAGAAAAUCAUGUAAUAUUUUCACUUUGUUAAUAUUAAAAAAUGAUAGUGUUUUCAGGAACAACUGAAGGUGGUUGUAUUAUGAUUGCAUUUUAAAAAGUUGCAGUGAAAAGAAAUUAGAAAUGGCUGACUAAAUAAAAACA